rnacentral:rRNA from 1 species
UAGGGAAUCUUCCACAAUGGACGCAAGUCUGAUGGAGCAACGCCGCGUGAGUGAAGAAGGUCUUCGGAUCGUAAAGCUCUGUUGUCGGUGAAGAAGGAUAGAGGCAGUAACUGGUCUUUAUUUGACGGUAAUCAACCAGAAAGUCACGGCUAACUACGUGCCAGCAGCCGCGGUAAUACGUAGGUGGCAAGCGUUGUCCGGAUUUAUUGGGCGUAAAGCGAGCGCAGGCGGAAUGAUAAGUCUGAUGUGAAAGCCCACGGCUCAACCGUGGAACUGCAUCGGAAACUGUCAUUCUUGAGUGCAGAAGAGGAGAGUGGAACUCCAUGUGUAGCGGUGGAAUGCGUAGAUAUAUGGAAGAACACCAGUGGCGAAGGCGGCUCUCUGGUCUGCAACUGACGCUGAGGCUCGAAAGCAUGGGUAGCGAACAGGAUUAGAUACCCUGGUAGUCCAUGCCGUAAACGAUGA